AUACGUAGGGUGCGAGCGUUGUCCGGAAUUACUGGGCGUAAAGAGCUCGUAGGUGGUUUGUCGCGUCGUCUGUGAAAUUCCGGGGCUUAACUCCGGGCGUGCAGGCGAUACGGGCAUAACUUGAGUACUGUAGGGGAGACUGGAAUUCCUGGUGUAGCGGUGAAAUGCGCAGAUAGCAGGAGGAACACCGGUGGCGAAGGCGGGUCUCUGGGCAGUAACUGACGCUGAGGAGCGAAAGCAUGGGUAGCGAACAGGAUUAGAUACCCUGGUAGUCCAUGCCGUAAACGGUGGGCGCUAGGUGUAGGGGUCUUCCACGACUUCUGUGCCGUAGCUAACGCAUUAAGCGCCCCGCCUGGGGAGUACGGCCGCAAGGCUAAAACUCAAAUGAAUUGACGGGG
rnacentral:rRNA from 1 species